rnacentral:rRNA from 1 species
UUGAGUUUGAUUCUGGCUCAGGAUGAACGCUGGCGGUAUGCUUAACACAUGCAAGUCGAACGAAAUCUUUCGGGAUUUAGUGGCGGACGGGUGAGUAACGCGUGAGAAUCUGCCUUCAGGUCUGGGACAACCACUGGAAACGGUGGCUAAUACCGGAUGUGCCGAAAGGUGAAAGGUUAACUGCCUGAAGAUGAGCUCGCGUCUGAUUAGCUAGUAGGUAGUGUAAAGGACUACCUAGGCGACGAUCAGUAGCUGGUCUGAGAGGACGAUCAGCCACACUGGGACUGAGACACGGCCCAGACUCCUACGGGAGGCAGCAGUGGGGAAUUUUCCGCAAUGGGCGAAAGCCUGACGGAGCAAUACCGCGUGAGGGAGGAAGGCUCUUGGGUCGUAAACCUCUUUUCUCAGGGAAGAACACAAUGACGGUACCUGAGGAAUAAGCAUCGGCUAACUCCGUGCCAGCAGCCGCGGUAAUACGGAGGAUGCAAGCGUUAUCCGGAAUGAUUGGGCGUAAAGCGUCCGCAGGUGGCUAUGUAAGUCUGCUGUUAAAGAGUCUAGCUCAACUAGAUAAGAGCAGUGGAAACUACAUGGCUAGAGUGCGUUCGGGGCAGAGGGAAUUCCUGGUGUAGCGGUGAAAUGCGUAGAGAUCAGGAAGAACACCGGUGGCGAAGGCGCUCUGCUAGGCCGCAACUGACACUGAGGGACGAAAGCUAGGGGAGCGAAUGGGAUUAGAUACCCCAGUAGUCCUAGCCGUAAACGAUGGAUACUAGGCGUGGCUUGUAUCGACCCGAGCCGUGCCGUAGCUAACGCGUUAAGUAUCCCGCCUGGGGAGUACGCCGGCAACGGUGAAACUCAAAGGAAUUGACGGGGGCCCGCACAAGCGGUGGAGUAUGUGGUUUAAUUCGAUGCAACGCGAAGAACCUUACCAAGGCUUGACAUGUCGCGAAUCCUGGUGAAAGCUGGGAGUGCCUUCGGGAGCGCGAACACAGGUGGUGCAUGGCUGUCGUCAGCUCGUGUCGUGAGAUGUUGGGUUAAGUCCCGCAACGAGCGCAACCCUCGUUUUUAGUUGCCAGCAUUAAGUUGGGCACUCUAGAGAGACUGCCGGUGACAAACCGGAGGAAGGUGGGGAUGACGUCAAGUCAGCAUGCCCCUUACGCCUUGGGCUACACACGUACUACAAUGCUCCGGACAGAGGGCAGCAAGCAUGCGAAUGCAAGCAAAUCCCGUAAACCGGAGCUCAGUUCAGAUCGCAGGCUGCAACUCGCCUGCGUGAAGGAGGAAUCGCUAGUAAUUGCAGGUCAGCAUACUGCAGUGAAUUCGUUCCCGGGCCUUGUACACACCGCCCGUCACACCAUGGAAGCUGGUAGUGCCCGAAGUCAUUACUCCAACCUUUCGGGGAGGAGGAUGCCUAAGGCAGGACUGGUGACUGGGGUGAAGUCGUAACAAGGUAGCCGUACCGGAAGGUGUGGCUGGAUCACCUCCUUUUUAGGGAGACCUACACCCCUUACAUAUCGAAAAGCAUACAGCUAUAUAGAUAGUAAGUUGGUCUAACCUAGGUCGGUCGAGGAUUGUAAAUGAAUUCCUUAGUAUUAAGAGGUGCGGCAAUACGGAGUAUAUCAAAUAAAUCGAGAGAAAUCACCCCCGUGACUGAAGGUGAACCCGGACUGCUGACUUGAUGCUCCACCUGAACCUUGUAAACUGGAUAAAUGCGCGAAAUUAAUGAGCAAACUUCAAUUUUGAAAUUGCUGAUUACUGUUUGCUGAUGGCUGAGGGAAUUCAGCGCAAAUGGAAGAGGUACUGCUAACUAACUAUUUGGGAAUGCAAAAUUGUUCAACUCCCCUCGUUUGAUGGGGAUUGUUAAUACAGACUAACUGGGGAUACCUCAGCACCCUGAAUUAAUGUUAAGUCAGACUGCUGAGUUAGUUCUCAGCCAGAACCUUGAAAACUGCAUAGUAACGCGAAAUUAGCAGGCAGACACAGACAUUGAGAGUGCUGAGUACUGAGUGCUGAGUGCUGAGUGAAAUCAGUGCAAAGUGAUGAGGUAAGCAGAACUAACUAUUUGUGAAUGCAAAAUUGUAGAACACCAAAUGUUUGAGUGGUCAAGUUAAUAAGGGCUAACGGUGGAUACCUAGGCCACACAGAA